rnacentral:rRNA from 1 species
GGAUUAGAUACCCUGGUAGUCUAUACCGUAAACGAUGUGUGCUCGGUGUGUGCUCUUAAUCGGGUGCGCGCCUAAGCUAACGCGUUAAGCACACCGCCUGGGGAGUACGGCCGCAAGGCUAAAACUCAAAGGAAUUGACGGGGGCCCGCACAAGCAGCGGAGCGUGUGGUUUAAUUCGAUGCAACGCGAAGAACCUUACCUGGGCUUGACAUAUGGAUAGUAGUGAACCGAAAGGGGAUCGACCUACGGGAGUUCAAACAGGUGCUGCAUGGCUGUCGUCAGCUCGUGUCG